AGAGUUUGAUCAUGGCUCAGGAUGAACGCUAGCUACAGGCUUAACACAUGCAAGUCGAGGGGCAGCAUGAGAUUAGCUUGCUAAUCUUGAUGGCGACCGGCGCACGGGUGAGUAACGCGUAUCCAACCUUCCCCUUAGUAGGGCAUAGCCCGGCGAAAGUCGGAUUAAUACCCUAUGUUGUAUAUUGAGGACAUCUGAUUUAUACUAAAGAUUUAUCGCUAAGGGAUGGGGAUGCGUCUGAUUAGGUGGUAGGCGGGGUAACGGCCCACCUAGCCGACGAUCAGUAGGGGUUCUGAGAGGAAGGUCCCCCACAUUGGUACUGAGACACGGACCAAACUCCUACGGGAGGCAGCAGUGAGGAAUAUUGGUCAAUGGGCGCGAGCCUGAACCAGCCAAGUAGCGUGCAGGAUGACGGCCCUAUGGGUUGUAAACUGCUUUUAUGCGGGGAUAAAGUCACCCACGUGUGGGUGUUUGUAGGUACCGCAUGAAUAAGGACCGGCUAAUUCCGUGCCAGCCGCCGC
rnacentral:rRNA from 1 species